rnacentral:lncRNA from 1 species
CUAGUUGAAGAGUUUAAUUCAUGGUAGAAGAAACAAAUCUACAAAUCAUGAUUAAUAACAUAAAGAGGAAGAAGAAUAAAAACUCUUUUGAAGCUUGAAUUAAUCUCCCUUCUUGAUAUUCUUCUUGAUCUCUUGAUUGAUCUUCUCCUUCUUGCCCGAUUGAAUUGUACUUGAAAGUGGUCUUUGGAGUUGCAUUUAUAUCAUCAUGAAGUUUUGGAAGAAUUAGAAUUGGA